GGUUGUUCUUUUUUUUACCUCUUCGAGAAGCUCCUGCCUUUCCAUUUCAAGGCUAUCAACAUUUUCUCCAUUUGGAUGUGGAGGUAGGAAGUUGACUUCCGCUCUCUUUGAAACAUAAGAUAAAAAUUUACUGUUUAUCCUUGAUGACACACCAGGGUUGAAAACCAUGCGUCUGAGAGAUUUCCUAAAUGCAGUCAAGCUGUAAAUGAACAAACACAAUUAUAUUAAAACAACAGAAUUAAUGAAAAUACAUUAUAUUUAAGGUAGAAAAUUACAUGAGAACUAAUCAAUAAACAGAAGCUGAAAUACAACCAGGAGUUGUAUUCCGAUGUGAUGCUGGUUAAUAAUCAUAAUGUCU